CUACGGGGGGCUGCAGGCGCGAAACCUUUACAAUGCACGCAAGUGUGAUAAGGGGAUCCUAAGUGCUCAUGCAUAGCAUGGGCUUUUGCCAAGAGUAAAUAUCUUGGAGAAUAAGUGGUGGGUAAGACUGGUGCCAGCCGCCGCGGUAACACCAGCGCCACGAGUGGCAUCCACGUUUAUUGGGCCUAAAGCGUCCGUAGCCGGUUUGGUAAAUUUCUUGUGAAAUCGUCGGGCUCAACCCGACGGCGCGCUUGAAACACUGCCAGACUUGAGACCGGGAGGAGUUAGAGGUAUUCCAGGGGGAGCGGUAAAAUGUGAUAAUCCCUGGAGGAUCACCUAUGGCGAAGGCAUCUAACCAGAACGGAUCUGACGGUCAGGGACGAAGGCUAGGGGAGCGAUCCGGAUUAGAUACCCCCGUAGUC
rnacentral:rRNA from 1 species